rnacentral:sRNA from 1 species
GCUGGGCACAGUGGCUUAUGCCUGUAAUCCCAGCUCUUUGGGAGACUGAGGCAGGAAGAUCACUUGAUCUCAGGAGUUCCAGGCCAAUCUGGGCAACAUAGCAAGAUCCUCUCUCAA